GCUAGCCCGAGCUAAUGGACAACAGUCACAGCAAAGAUUGAGACCUACGAUGGGUUUGUCUGUGAGAAGGCAUUGUUGUUACUCCUGACUUUAUUUUUACUUUUAUUUUUUGGACACUUUGUGUUAGAAUAUGUGUUGCACUUAUGGACACAAAUGUCGACCGCCUGGUUUUCUUAAUUUGGAGGAAGCAGUUGUUGACUUCCGAUUGCAACUUCCGUAGUUUUCCAGAGGUGACCCAGUCGUUGCAGGCUGAGGUUUUUUAGCAGCAGUUAAUUCCCCAGACAGCUGCAGCAGUCUUUGAGAGUAUGCUCCUGAGCAGCUUUUAUUGGCAAAACAUGCUAAAGGAAUAUUCAAGGUGGAAUUCCAGCGAGACAUCACAUCUACUUCAAAUGAAUCCAGACGAAGAAGGUGGCUGCCAACAAACCUUGGUUUUGUGCUAAGGCAGAAGGAAACCAUGCUGGACUCGAGAUCGAUGAGGAAAGUGAAAACUGGCCCUAGAAUUAUUGGUCUACCACAACCUGAGCCGUAGGACAUCUACACCACCAGGUGCAGAGGAAACGCACUAACCAUCAUGGAAGACUAAGUCCAUUCUUCUUUCCUAUUUAUCACUGGAAACCACUGAAGAUAUUUUACUUCCUAUCC